GGGUGAGUAAUACGUGAGUAACCUACCUUUAACUCUGGGAUAAGCCUGGGAAACUGGGUCUAAUACCGGAUACGACCAAUCUCCGCAUGGGGUGUUGGUGGAAAGCGUUAUGUAGUGGUUAUAGAUGGGCUCACGGCCUAUCAGCUUGUUGGUGAGGUAACGGCUCACCAAGGCGACGACGGGUAGCCGGCCUGAGAGGGUGACCGGCCACACUGGGACUGAGACACGGCCCAG
rnacentral:rRNA from 1 species